AGUGAACGCUGGCGGUAGGCCUAACACAUGCAAGUCGAACGGCAGCACAGUAAGAGCUUGCUCUUACGGGUGGCGAGUGGCGGACGGGUGAGGAAUACAUCGGAAUCUACUUUUUCGUGGGGGACAACGUAGGGAAACUUACGCUAAUACCGCAUACGACCUACGGGUGAAAGCAGGGGAUCUUCGGACCUUGCGCGAUUGAAUGAGCCGAUGUCGGAUUAGCUAGUUGGCGGGGUAAAGGCCCACCAAGGCGACAAUCCGUAGCGGGUCUGAGAGGAUGAUCAGCCACACUGGAACUGAGACACGGUCCAGACUCCUACGGGAGGCAGCAGUGGGGAAUAUUGGACAAUGGGCGCAAGCCUGAUCCAGCCAUACCGCGUGGGUGAAGAAGGCCUUCGGGUUGUAAAGCCCUUUUGUUGGGAAAGAAAAGCAGCAGGUUAAUACCCCGCUGUUCUGACGGUACCCAAAGAAUAAGCACCGGCUAACUUCGUG
rnacentral:rRNA from 1 species